ACCGGGACCUGCAAAGAAAGUCUAAACCAGAGUUGGAGGUGCUCCGGCAAAACCCUCCGAUGCUCAAGUCAGUUCUCUGCUUCAACAAGAAUGGAGUGCUCGAACGAAAAUUUUAGCAGAGUUUCAAGAUAGAAAUUAGAGCUUAGAGAAUAACGUAUCUGGGAUCCCCUUUUUAUAGGCGGAGGGUGCAACAGACUGACAGCGACAUUUGUAACCGCCUGGUAGUGGGCCGCUCGGG
rnacentral:lncRNA from 1 species